GACUUUGACAUAGAGUGCAGAGAAGAAUAACAGUGGUCUGACUAUAUAAAGAAAGGUGCUGGAGUACAUGCUCACUUGCAAGCUAUACUCCUUCAACUGGAGGACCUGCCCCAGUGAUUUCUCAUAGGGAUCUUGCCUCACUGAAUGAUAAUUGAAAGGGCAAAGAGGUGGGACUCUAGCCAAAACACAGAAAGCCUGUUGCAAUUUGCUCAGGGCCAGUCAAGUUUACAAAAGCCUCUUCCAUUGAACCAUCUUCUUAAAGCUGAAAAUACACAGCAGCUAAGGGCUUUACUUCACUCAAGGAAAAAACUCUGCAACUCAAAAGUUUAUAUGCUAUUUUGUGGACCCUGCUUGGUUCUAAUGAAGGUGGUAUUGUAUUGACCCUGUGAGUUGCAUUUGAGAGUUAUGGGAUUUACAGUAUAACCUCUCAUUACUUGCUUAAGAUGUCCAGCCAUCGCUUCUAAGAAAGUAAAGGACUCAGCCUUACCUCCAGCCUAUUUGGUUCAAGACAGCUGCCUUAUUUCCCAAUCUCUUGGUGGCUGAUUGAGGCUCUGAGUGUGGCUGCAGUUGGAGAUAGGCAUUUGUGCCAACUCAAAGACAGGAAAGAAUUCAUUGGUGUCUACCACAAGUUGUGAUCAAAGCUUCUCAAGGACUUGGAUGGCAUGUCUGGCUUGUUAUUUUCAUCUCCUGUUAAAUAUUCAAUGGGCUAAAUAGGUCAAAACCAUCCAAACUGGGCAGGAAGUGCACAGUUGGAGCAUUCUGUCAGUGGUUAAUUGGGGCUGAAAAACUAGUCUUCGACCAGCUGCUGCUAUGCAUUCAAGGUUACAAAUGGCAAAGGAAGAAUUUCUGCUGCACCAACCAGACUAUUGUCUUCACUGUAUCUUCUAAGCUGCAUCUUUAGGUUGAGAUGCAGGUAACUUUGAUACUGGAUAUCAGUGUGCUGCUGGCAAGUUGGGUUAGCCUUCAAUUUUAGAGACCAACUGUUAAGCCCAGCUUGCAAAAUGAGAUCCCUCUCUAACCUACUUUCUAUCUCAGGAUUACCAGCUAACCAAGAAAAUAAUUAUUCUUGCUCUUGUGCCUUUAAGAGCAGCUUGAUCUACAGAAAUUGGCAAAUUUCAUGAACUUUUCAUGUAUAAAACAUGAACAUAAACAUGAACACUUCCCAAUGCCUGUAGGUGAUGCUGCUGUUAACAACAGCAAAGAUAACAAGCAAAGACUUGGCAAUCUGUGUUUGAAUGUCUUCUGUCUGUCUGUCUUCGUUGUUCCCUCCUCUCCCUGUAUUUCCUUCUCUUGGGAAAAAUAGCUAAACCAAAUAAAUUGAAACAAUGCUCGUGCUGUUGGUGUGAUUUGUCUUAGGAUAAGGCACAUGCCAAUUAAGGAUCAUCAUUACUCACCAUUUGAAAACAUUAGUACACAUGGAGAUUGGGAGCCUCAACUCCAAGGCUGCAAUCCUAUGCACGCUUCUGAAUAAGCUCUGAAUAUAUAUGUGUAUAAGGACUGGAAGACCACAGUUCUAUGCACAUUUACUUAGGAGCAAGUCCCAUUUAAUUUUAAGAGAUUUAUUUAUGAGUAAAAAUGCAUUAAACAGACUCUGUUGCCAACUUUUUUAGCUCCUUUGCCUUUAACAACUACUUAGUCUACAAACAUUAGCAGGUGUGAUAAGACUGAUCUCCAAGCUAUGAAAAGCCCCACCUGUGCAGAAAUCCACAUCACAGCUGCUCUUAAAGACACAGGUGCAGGCCAGGCCAUUUUUUUUCUGAGAAGGAUAAAGAGGAUGACAUCCAUGAAGCCUUCAACCAAGAACCUCAUGGUCUGGAACUGGAGUAUAGCCCUACUGAGUAACCUGGAUCUGUAUGAGCUCAAGUCUCAUAGCCUUCUUCAGACACAGAAAACCUCUGGAUUUGAAGGAUGUAAAAGUACUUUUGGCUAUUGUUCUGGCCUAGUUAACAGAGCAGUACCUUCUGCUCUUCUGACUGUUGUUGUGUAAAUUUGUAUAUUUGUUAAACAGAGAACGGCAAUGGUCUGAAAUGUGUGUGCGUUUACCUAAGUAGCAGGCUUUUACCCUGCAUUGACAUCACUGAGACUUAAGACUUAGUAAAAUAAGAAAAGCUACUUUGUUGAGUAGAUAGAAAGGCAUACCUAGUUCUGACUAACUAAGUUGCAGGUACAAUGCCCAGGCUUGAGAAUUGCCCUCAUGGCUUAGGAGAGAGAGAGCAGAGACAAAGGUGUCU